rnacentral:lncRNA from 1 species
UUGACCUAAAUGCCAGUGUAAACUACGAGCCACAACUGGGUCAAAUUGAUUCAGUUUAAGUUCACGCCCUGUAGUAACUGAAAGCUGGCAACAAGCAACACAGCAACUGUGGCACUGAAGAAGCAACGCCAGACAACACGAAAAGUUUAAAAGCCAAGUUGAAGGUCAUCAAGGUCACUUCAGGUUAAAGUCACCAAGGUCAUUCAAGGUCAAUUAACUUAACAUGGGUCAAGGAGAAGGAAGUGGAAGAGGCGACCUAUGCCCUGGAAUAUUGUGGGCUAUUCUAUGGCUUCUAAUUCUCUGGUUUGCGGCAUGGCCAAUUGCCUUUUUUAUCGCCUGGCUGUACAUUCUUCUUCUACCAUUCCAAGCCUGCUGCGACUGCAUUAAACCAAUCAAUGAGGCCCUCUUCAAGGUCGUGAGCUUGCCCUUGACCUGUGCAGAGAAAAUGGUGGCCAUGGAGCCCCUGUGUGGAUAGGAGGCAUGGUCACAUGACACCAUCACUCAAAAGACCUCAUAUUUCUUUUAAAAACACGCUUGCUUUCAUCUACUCUGAAGUUCCAAAUAAUCUAUAUGUAAGGUGAAACUAAUCACUUCUAUGAAAAACUAAGGAAGAAAAAUGACAAAUUAGCAUAAAUACUGAGAAGCUUGAUCUAUCAGGUUGGAAAAUGUCUUAUUUCACCAUACUACGUCCAAUGUAUAUCUCUACUGACUAUGAGCAGAAUACUGCUGAAGAAAUCUCUCAGGAAAUAACACCAAAUCGACAUACACUGUAUAUAUUACUGUUACUGCUAUUAAAAAGAGAAGUACUUUCUUCCAUGAAGAGGAUAAAUAAGCCAAAUCCAUGCAUUUAGCAGGGUCAUUCAUAAUUCUGCUGCAACUAUAUUUUCAUAUAAAUAAAUUGCUAGAUUUUCAUACACUGUACUUCAUCUUGGAUAACAGAUUUGGAAAGCUAUAAGAUGAAUAAGAAAACUGCUCAAUUGUUACCAAUUAUGCGACAUCACAGGAUCUGCAUUGGACUUAAAGAAUCUCUAAGAUGGCACUUUCUUUUGGGAGUGAAUAGCUGACAUGAACUUUACAUAGAAAUAUUGGAGAUAAAUGUCAACUCAUACAUUUCGAAUGAUAAUUCAGUGUAUUUCAGUAUAAAAGUAAGAAAUGUAGUACUUUUAACUACUGUAUAAUAACCUGAAAGUAGGAUUACAUUCAGUUGAAUGCUAAAGAUCAUUUGUUGGGUUGAAGAUUUUUUUUACAAAAAAAUGCUGAUUUAUCACCGUUUCGACUCCAAGUUUUCAGUUAAGGCAAAGCUGAUCAGCUAUUUUGCUUAAAAAGAGGUUUUGUAAAACUGAAAAAGAUAUGUCCUGUUUAAAUGAAAAGUGCAUAGUUUUAUCUCUGUUUGCCUUUACAGCAUUUUAUUCUACAGAUAAUUGUUAUACAUCAACCACAGGGAUCAAAUGAGAGAAUAUUUUUGCAUUUAUAAAUGUGCCUUUUUGUCCAAAUGCUUUUUACUAUUAAAAUCCUUCAUAAACUAGCAUAACUUAGGGGGAAAAUCAAUUCUAGGACUAUUUUGUAUGUGGAACUUUUAAUAUUGAGCUUCGUUUGAAAUAUUUUUCACUUUUUUAGGGGCAUUAUAAAAAUUUCUCACUAGUCAGCUUUUGCAUGUAAAAAUAUAAUUUUGUGUACGUUUAAAAAAACAUUUUGAAAAACAGUAUCUUAGUUCAAGAUAUCUAGCAAAUGAUUGAAACCUGAAUUCAUUAGGUAUGUGCAUCUAUACACAAUAUUGUAUCAUGUGAAAAUAAAAGUCUCUUCAAAAACA